rnacentral:rRNA from 1 species
UACAGAGGUCCCGAGCGUUGUUCGGAUUCACUGGGCGUAAAGGGUGCGUAGGUGGCAUGGUAAGUUUGAUGUGAAAGCUCAGGGCUCAACCCUGAAAUGGCAUUGAAUACUACUGUGCUGGAGGUUUGGAGGGGGGACUGGAAUUCUUGGUGUAGCAGUGAAAUGCGUAGAUAUCAAGAGGAACACCAGUGGCGAAGGCGAGUCCCUGGACAACACCUGACACUGAGGCACGAAAGCCGGGGGAGCAAACAGG